rnacentral:rRNA from 1 species
GUGUCAGCAGCCGCGGUAAUACGUAGGGGGCAAGCGUUAUCCGGAAUUACUGGGUGUAAAGGGUGAGUAGGCGGUUAAAUAAGCCAUAUGUGAAAUCUUAGAGCUCAACUUUAAGACUGCAUAAGGAACUGUAUAACUAGAGUGCAGGAGAGGUAAGUGGAAUUCCUAGUGUAGCGGUGAAAUGCGUAGAUAUUAGGAGGAACACCAGUGGCGAAGGCGACUUACUGGACUGAAACUGACGCUGAGUCACGAAAGCGUGGGGAGCAAACAGGAUUAGAUACCCUGGUAGUCCACGCUGUAAACGAUGAGUGCUAGGUGUUGGGUAGAGAUACUCGGUGCCGUAGCUAACGCAAUAAGCACUCCACCUGGGAAGUACGACCGCAAGGUUGAA